AGUGAACGCUGGCGGUAGGCCUAACACAUGCAAGUCGAACGGCAGCACAGUAAGAGCUUGCUCUUACGGGUGGCGAGUGGCGGACGGGUGAGGAAUACAUCGGAAUCUACUUUUUCGUGGGGGAUAACGUAGGGAAACUUACGCUAAUACCGCAUACGACCUACGGGUGAAAGCAGGGGAUCUUCGGACCUUGCGCGAUUGAAUGAGCCGAUGUCGGAUUAGCUAGUUGGCGGGGUAAAGGCCCACCAAGGCGACGAUCCGUAGCUGGUCUGGGAGGAUGAUCAGCCACACUGGAACUGAGACACGGUCCAGACUCCUACGGGAGGCAGCAGUGGGGAAUAUUGGACAAUGGGCGCAAGCCUGAUCCAGCCAUACCGCGUGGGUGAAGGAGGCCUUCGGGUUGUAAAGCCCUUUUGUUGGGAAAGAAAAGCAGCAGGUUAAUACCCCGCUGUUCUGACGGUACCCAAAGAAUAAGCACCGGCUAACUUCGUG
rnacentral:rRNA from 1 species